UUCCAAGCGGUCUAUCGGUAAUUAGGCCGGCGACACAUUGGCGGUUGCGGCAGCGGUUGCAACCGCGCGGUUACAACCGCGAUAGCGUUCACAUUUUCCGCAAAUUUCGCGACAGUCAGUAGUAUGGAGUUGACAGAAACAGUUGCCAUAAUGUACGCUCUCAAAAUUAAGAAAUCUAAACGAAAAAGAAGGUACUGGGUCCAUCCGUUAUACGAAAGGCGUCUGACAAAUGGUCAGUUUCUAUGCCUUUUUCAUCAGUUGAGGGAAUAUCCCUAAAAGUUCUUUAAUUAUUACAGAAUGAGCGUUACGUCUUUUGAUGAAUUAGUGACGUUGAUGAGACCUCACUUGCAAAAGUCAAAUAGUCACUUUAGAGAUUGCAUCACUGUGGAAGGAAGAUUAACAGUCACUAUAAGGUAUCUCACGACUGGAAUGCAUUUUGCUGCUUUGCAGUAUUCAUUUUUAAUGGGAAAAAGGACAAUCUCAUUGAUCAUUAAUGAAUGUUGUCGUGCAUUAUGGACUAUAUUACAACCACUAGAAAUGCCCGAACCUACUGUUGAAAAAUGGAAAGAAAUAGCAGAGGAAUUUGAUCAGAAAUCUAAUUUCCCCCACUGCUUUGGGGCAGUCGAUGGGAAACAUAUUCGUAUAAUGUCACCAGAACAUAGCGGAUCGGCAUUUUUUAAUUACAAGAAGGCAGUUUGAGUUGGCAAAAUGCUAUGAUAUAGAUAAGUAUUAGUGUAUUGUGUUUAUUUAAUAGAUAGGUAUAUUAUUACCUUUGUAAACAAUUAUUAUAUUAAAACACUUUCUGUACAUAUAUAUAUGAAGUAUUUUUCUUA